UCUUGAAAAUCUCGCAUACCCCCUGGCAAUCUCGGUGAACUUGCAAAACCAGAGUGCUCUUCAAUAUCCAGAAUCUCAUUAAAAUCCCCCAUUAUAAUCCAAUUUUUAUCCUUGAACAUCGGUGAGUCAUAGUGAUUUCUCAAGUCAUCCCACAACUCUUUCCUCUCCUCUAUACCAUUUGCAGCAUAGAUAAACGAACAAAAGAAUUCCUCUUCCACACCUUCCAUCAAAAUUGAACAAGUGAUGA
rnacentral:lncRNA from 1 species